CCACCACUCCCAAUUCCAGAGCAGUAAAUCUCGAUGGCAAGGCAAUCAACUUCGUUCGGCUAAAAAAACCCGGCUAAAUUCCAGCGUCAACGAGAGCAAACUCGACAUUUUCGGAUUGCCCCCAAGGUGGUACCGAUUCCGAUUCCGAAAGCUGCGACCAUAUAUGUAGAGUCGGGGGCAGGCAGAGAUCCGAUCCCGGCCAAAAUUAACAUAUUCCUGGAGUCCAUCAGCCAGCUGGCGGCCCUGGCGACCACGAGCGGCAUCAUGCAGCUGCUGCUAUCCUCCGUUUGCAUGGCGCUGACCAGCGCGGUAAUCGGAAAUGCCUACUACCAAAAGCAGCAGUUCUAUCCGGCAGUGGUCUACAUAACCAAGUCAAACGCCUCCAUGGCGGUUAUUUACGUGCAGUUCUUCGUGAUUGUCUUCAUGUUUGGCAAGCUGCUCCGCAAGAUCUUCCUGGGCACGCUACGUGCCGCCGAGUUCGAGCAUCUGCUGGAGCGCUUUUGGUACGCCCUCACGGAGACCUGCCUGGCCUUCACUGUAUUCCGGGACGACUUCAAUCCACGCUUUGUGGCCCUGUUUACGGUGCUGCUUUUCCUCAAAUCAUUCCAUUGGCUGGCCGAGGAGCGGGUGGACUUUAUGGAGCGUUCGCCCGUGCUUGGCUGGCUGUUCCACAUUCGCGUGGGCAGCUUGCUCACCAUGCUGGGCAUCCUCGACUACGUGUUACUGAUCCAUGCCUACAACUCGACUCUGGUGCGGGGACCCACUGUGCAGUUGGUCUUCGGCUUCGAGUACGCCAUCCUUUUGACCGUAAUCGCCAGUACAGCCAUUAAGUACGUGCUGCACGCGGCGGAGAUGCGAACGGACACGCCCUGGGAGAACAAGGCGGUGUUCCUGCUCUAUACCGAGCUGGUCAUCGGGCUCAUCAAGGUGGUGCUCUACAUCUUGUUCGUGGUGAUUAUGGCAAAGAUCUACGCGCUGCCCAUGUUCGUGUUCCGGCCCAUGUUCUUCACCAUUCGGAACUUCCGCAAGGCGCUGAACGACGUGAUCAUGUCUAGGCGGGCCAUCCGCAACAUGAACACCCUGUAUCCAGACGCCACGCCCGAGGAACUGCGCCAGUCGGACAACAUCUGCAUAAUUUGCCGCGAGGACAUGAUCAACCACUCAAAGAAAUUGCCCUGCGGCCACAUCUUCCACACCACGUGCCUGCGCUCUUGGUUCCAGCGCCAGCAGACCUGUCCCACCUGCCGUCUGAACAUACUGCGUACCCCUGCCGUGAAUUCAACGGCGAUGCCGCGCGCAGGCGAUGAGGCCGCCGCCGCUGCUGCUGCUGGGAAUGCCGCUCCGGCUGCAGCCGGUGCUCAACCCGCAGGAGGGGUGCCUGCUCCGACUCCAGCUGCCGGAAUCGAUGUCAACCAGGCUGGUGCCAACGGCCCGCUAGCCGGAGUUCAAGCUAUGCCGCCUAGCUUUGCAGAUCUCUUCGGCGAUGCCACCGGCUUGCCCAAUCUAGCUGGACUUUCGGUGUCUCCACCGCCGGUCAUGCCCAUGCUGUCGCCUUUUAUGAUGCCGCCGCAGUUUGGCUACUUCUCGCCGCCACCAACUAUUCCGCUGGACCUGACCAAGUUCACCGACGAGGAGCUGCGCGCCAUGGAAGGACACCAGCGGGAGCACAUUGAGCAGCGUUUAAGGUUGCUGCAAAACAUAAACCUCAUGCUGGAUUCGGCAGGGGUGAUGAUGUCCCAGUACCAGACUUUGGCCUCCCGCCUGCAACUCACCGCAGUGCCGCCGCCAGCAUCUGCCGCAGCUCCAAGCCUUGUAGAAGGAGCAGCUGCAGGAUCCGUCGUGUACGACAAGCCCAGUACCUCGGCCUCGGCCAUGGCCCAGCUGGAAGCUCACCAGGUGACCCCCACGGCUGGAGUCCCUCCACUGCCUGCAGAGAAGGUAACCAUUGAGGAUCUGGGCGCGGACGAAGACGACGUGCCAUCUACGGUCACGGAGGCGGCGAGUCUGCCCAACUCUGAUGCCGACUUCGAGGAGAACUCCUCGGAGCUGGGCGAGCUGAGGAAGCGUCGCUUGAAGUUUCUGGAGGAGCGCAACAGGUUCGCGAACGAAGGCACGCCAGCGGAAUAGAAGACUCCACUUCACUCCAUAUAACAGCAGCGAAAUCCCUCAUCCCUCAAAAACCAUAAACAUAACGUACUUGCGACGACUACGAUGCGCCCGAAAUUCACAUUCUGAAGCACGACCGCCCAGUAAAAGCGGCGUGUGAAACGAAGGAUCUGAACGUGAACGAAGUGCGUCAUCCAAAUUCAAUAUGUAGCAAUAUGUAUUGUGUAAAAACUAUUUUAGAGAUGGGAAACUGAUCAUUUGUAUUUAAUAUUACUAUAUGUGUAUAAUUAAUGUGAAAUAUAAUUAAAACGAAAAGAACGAUAAAUGGAUUAAGGCUACAAAUACGAUACAAGUACACUA